UGCUGAUACAAAAUCAUUCAACUUAGAGGUUCACAAUGAUGAGAGGGGUUAUACAACUAAGGUCAGGGAUCAAACUGAAUCCUCUCUGCCUGAAGUUGUUAUUGGGAGAGAGGGUGACAAAAAGGCAAUUAUAGAAUCUCUGUUGGCUUCCAACAGUGAAGAGAAUGUUUCAGUUCUCUCAAUUGUUGGAAUUGGGGGAUUAGGGAAGACUACACUUGCUCAAUUCAUAUUCAAUGAUGAGCAAGUUAGUAAACA
rnacentral:misc_RNA from 1 species